rnacentral:rRNA from 1 species
GAUGAACGCUGGCGGCGUGCCUAAUACAUGCAAGUCGAACGCUUUGUGGUUCAACUGAUUUGAAGAGCUUGCUCAGAUAUGACGAUGGACAUUGCAAAGAGUGGCGAACGGGUGAGUAACACGUGGGAAACCUACCUCUUAGCAGGGGAUAACAUUUGGAAACAGAUGCUAAUACCGUAUAACAAUGACAACCGUAUGGUUGUUAUUUAAAAGAUGGUUCUGCUAUCACUAAGAGAUGGUCCCGCGGUGCAUUAGCUAGUUGGUAAGGUAAUGGCUUACCAAGGCGAUGAUGCAUAGCCGAGUUGAGAGACUGAUUGGCCACAAUGGGACUGAGACACGGCCCAUACUCCUACGGGAGGCAGCAGUAGGGAAUCUUCCACAAUGGGCGAAAGCCUGAUGGAGCAACGCCGCGUGUGUGAUGAAGGGUUUCGGCUCGUAAAACACUGUUGUAAGAGAAGAAUGACAUUGAGAGUAACUGUUCAAUGUGUGACGGUAUCUUACCAGAAAGGAACGGCUAAAUACGUGCCAGCAGCCGCGGUAAUACGUAUGUUCCAAGCGUUAUCCGGAUUUAUUGGGCGUAAAGCGAGCGCAGACGGUUAUUUAAGUCUGAAGUGAAAGCCCUCAGCUCAACUGAGGAAUUGCUUUGGAAACUGGAUGACUUGAGUGCAGUAGAGGAAAGUGGAACUCCAUGUGUAGCGGUGAAAUGCGUAGAUAUAUGGAAGAACACCAGUGGCGAAGGCGGCUUUCUGGACUGUAACUGACGUUGAGGCUCGAAAGUGUGGGUAGCAAACAGGAUUAGAUACCCUGGUAGUCCACACCGUAAACGAUGAGUGCUAGGUGUUUGAGGGUUUCCGCCCUUAAGUGCCGCAGCUAACGCAUUAAGCACUCCGCCUGGGGAGUACGACCGCAAGGUUGAAACUCAAAGGAAUUGACGGGGACCCGCACAAGCGGUGGAGCAUGUGGUUUAAUUCGAAGCAACGCGAAGAACCUUACCAGGUCUUGACAUCCCUUGACAACUCCAGAGAUGGAGCGUUCCCUUCGGGGACAAGGUGACAGGUGGUGCAUGGUUGUCGUCAGCUCGUGUCGUGAGAUGUUGGGUUAAGUCCCGCAACGAGCGCAACCCUUAUUACUAGUUGCCAGCAUUCAGUUGGGCACUCUAGUGAGACUGCCGGUGACAAACCGGAGGAAGGUGGGGAUGACGUCAAAUCAUCAUGCCCCUUAUGACCUGGGCUACACACGUGCUACAAUGGCGUAUACAACGAGUUGCCAACCCGCGAGGGUGAGCUAAUCUCUUAAAGUACGUCUCAGUUCGGAUUGUAGGCUGCAACUCGCCUACAUGAAGUCGGAAUCGCUAGUAAUCGCGGAUCAGCACGCCGCGGUGAAUACGUUCCCGGGUCUUGUACACACCGCCCGUCACACCAUGAGAGUUUGUAACACCCAAAGCCGGUGGGGUAACCUUCGGGAGCCAGCCGUCUAAGGUGGGACAGAUGAUUAGGGUG